rnacentral:lncRNA from 1 species
AUAGACGUGUAGAAGGCACAUCAGGGAGAGUGUCGGGGUCAGGCCAGAAACUUCACAUUAAAUCAGGGAGGAUUUGUUUGGGGCUCACAUUUAGACAGAGAACAAAGACUUCUCUGUCAUUUUUGUAGUUUUGUUCAUUUGUAUUUGAAAAUAGCAGUUCUCUCUCUGGCCUGACUGCAUCCCUUUGAUGGUAACUGAAGCUUUCCAUUGCAGCGGUGCUCCUGACGGGGGCGACAUUGAACCUGCUCAGGGCUCAGGGCUCCUCUUCCCGGCUCUGUGGCCUCCCCGAACAUGAGUAACACUAUGGCCUGCAAAGAUAGGACUUAAUUGUCCUUAAAAGGAAAAAUGCCUGCAUGACCAGAGUUGGACCAAGCCAGAACAGGAGCCCCUGAGAAGUGCUAGGGCUCACUGGCAGACAAAACUCAGCGCUUUAUUUCCUUUGUAGAUGUUGAUGCAGGUAAGUGGCAUUGGGACAGUAUGACGUGUUUCAUGAUGACAGUCACGCUCUGCUUGGUGACCUCUGACCUCCCUCUUCAGGGGCUCUGGAGGUUAACAUUUUUGUACAUCCACACCGGAAAGAAUGUACUCAAGAGUAGAAAAUGUGGGAGGAAUUUAGUGAAUGAAUAGAACUUAGCGGGCAGAGAAAAUAACUAGGUAAUUUUGUCCACCAAAAACCCCAAUUACCAGUUAUUUACAGCCCACUGGUCUGCAACUUCGGUUGCCUAAUCAGACAUUCAUAUAAGUGCAGUCCCUUGCUCAAACAGUAAUCCCUUGUCUUGACUGACUCUCAGACAAGGAAGAGCAGGCAGAGGAGAUUGUAAAGCAGAAGCAAAGUAGUUGAAAGCCACUGAGAGUGGUUGAGGACAUGGGUGGGUUCACAUCUGUAAUGUGUUGGAAGCUGAAUACAGCUGUUUGGCACUUUCAACAGGCAGUGACCAUGAAUGGGAUGUCCUGCCUCCAGGGCAGUGCAAACAGGCCUCCAGCCAGACAGCCAUCUCGCUCUCCUUUUCCUCCAGCUGUGUCUGCAGAAGGGUCCCGAGUAGCAUCCUGUAGUUCCAACCUGCUUACUCCUUAGGACUAGGAAACAAGAAAAUCACUGCUAACCCCACUCCAAACUUGCCUGAUUUCAGAGCUCAGUAUCAUUCUGCAGUUUGCAGUCACACUGGGAGGGUCUUUUUCUCGUAUAUGAGAAGGAGGACAGAAUGUUGGAAGGGAACGCUCCUCGACAGAUGGGAAUGAGAGUGGUGUGAGUAACUAACUGGAGGCAAUAAAGGUGUUAGCAAACAGCAGGAGGGAAGAGUGGGCCCCACCGAUCACUGGCUGUCCCGCAUGCUGUGUGUUGUACCAGUGCCAGUGGGAGCUGCCUAUCCAAGCCUUGGUAUUAACAGCAUGUGACUCUGGCAGAUUCACAAUGUCCUCAUUGGCUUUGUCAGUAUGACAAGCUUUGACUGAGUCCCUAUCCAACUGAGGGGCCACCAUCCCCGUCACCCUCCUUUCUGAUGCCUUUUCUCCUGAUCAUCCCUUCUUCUUCCUUCUUCUUUGUCUGGCUUCUUUUGUUCUUCCUUUUUCUGUCCCUCACUCCUCCUUACAUUAUAUUCCCAGCUUCCUUUGGGAUUUUUGUUUUAACAUAAGGAGAACCUUACCAUCGAUGUCAAGCUCAGCAUGAUAUAACCAAUUACCCUAAAACCACAGCCAUCUAGCCUUAUCUUGUAUUAAAAAAAAAAAAAAGAAAAAAAAACAGAUGUUGCCUAUAAUUGUAUAUCUGCUCAGGUUUAAACAUAAAUUGCAGUGAGAAUUCUUAAGGCAAGAAUACCAUUGAACCAAAAUACGUUAUAACAGAAAGGGGUCUCAGAUGCUUAUUACCUCCUCCCAACUGUAUUUCAUUUUACAACAAAGCAAAUCACAGCUUGGAAAAGUUAAAUGAGUUCCUAAGGUUCCACAAUAAAUAAGGGCGAAGGGGCCACUACUUAGGACCCAGAUCUCCUGAUCCCUAUCUAGUGAUUUUUUUUACUUCAUGAAUUUUAAUGUAAAAAAAGAAAAAGAAGCCACAGAUCCUCUAGACCCUUAUGCAAUAUAGGGAAAUAUUCCUUAACCCCAAUCGUGCUUUAAUCCUUCUUCUACUGAAACAAAUACAGCUAAUGAAUUAGAGAUGCUCUUUUGUUCUCCUGUUAACUAUCUGACCUUAAGGAAGUCACUCAACCAAUUGGUUCUCAGUAUUCUCUUUCCACACUGAGGGAAGUGGACAGAUAAUCUAUGGUUGCUUCCAGCUCCAAAAUUCAGUGACCCUUUAAGCUUAACUUCUUUCACCAGAAUACCUGUCAUUUCUAGGUAAAUAGUGUUCUCAGUCCUUUCUGUUAAAAGAGGUUAAGUAAAUAAAAAGGAAAGAUCAGGCUAUGCUUUUGGCCUAGAUUAUAACUUUGUGACCAAGGAUGAAGGAAUUUAAUAGCAAUAAGAAAGCUUCCAGGGUCUACCAUUUACAAUUUAAAUACUUUACUUGGGAGGUUAAAAGUUCAAAGUUGAGUCACAGUCUGAGGUGGCUCUGCUCUUCCUUUUUAAUUAUCUGAGGUCAGGAAGUUAAUAAUACGAGAAAUCCCCAGCGGAGACCUCUUGUGCACUGUGUGAACUUUAAACUUGCUCAUUUUUUUCUUAAGGGUAAAAAGUUCAGCAGAAACACAGUGGACUUUUCCUCUUAGCCUCCACCCAUUCAUCCCCCAAGGUCAAAAGUUGAACUGUAAAACAGAAACCCUUGUUCUCUGAUCCACAUUUAAACAGAUCACUUAUUAAAAGGUAAACAUUCCACAUGCAAGCCAAAGUUCCAAGUGAAUCUGCUCAAUAAAAAUAAAAAAACUGUAAUAAAGUCUUUGAUCUUUUCCACUUGUCUUAGAAUUGAACAACAGAAUUUAUUUUCUCGUUUUUUGAAUCUCAGAGAAGGGGCAGUCAUAUAAGCUCUUUCCUCACCUACCUCUGCCCUGAGAUUGGCAUAUCUAAAAGAGAUAAACCUAAGAUAUUUUAAAAUAGUCAGAUUUGGAGCCUUACCUUAAGGCAAUUUCUUCAACUAAUUCUACGCCAUUUAUGUUUGUUUAUUUGUUUUGCUCAAACAGGAAUUCAAGAACAGCAAAUGUGAUUUAAAUCAGAGAUAUAAAGUACUACAGAAUAAAAAGGAGUUUGCUGAAAAUGGUAGAGGAUGCUGUAUUAGUCCGUUUUGCUGCUGAUAAAGACAUAUCUGAGACUGGGCAAUUUACAAAAGAAAGAGGUUUAGUGGACUUACAGUUCCACUUGGCUGGGGAAGCCUCACAAUCAUGGUGGAAGGUGAUAGGCAUGUCUCAUAUGGAUGGCACAGGCAAAAAAAAAAAAAUGCUUGGGCAGGGAAACUUCCUCUUAUAAAACCAUCGGAUCUCGUGAGACUUAUUUACUAUCAUGAGAACAGCAUGGGAAAGACCUCCCACCAGGUCCCCCCGACCCACCACAACACGUGGGAAUUUAAUAUGAGAUUUGGGUGGGGACAAAACCAAACCAUAUCAGAUGCAGAGAAAAUAAAGAAAUGGAUGAAUAUAUCCAAUGAACCUCAUAUGAAUAAUGAAUGGAAAAUAUCUGAGAUCUUCACAGUGUUAAAGCUCAAACAAGAAGUGAAAUAAAUAGCUACAGAGCUCCAAAUAAGUAUUUAAUGAUAGUGACAAGACUCACUUUCUUGAAGUAAUGAUGGCAAACUUUAAAAGUAUGGAAAAGCCAUUGACCGAAUACUAACCCAAUCCAAUCAGCAUGCUUAGGAAAACUCCCUGAGAUGAUCACAUGAAGCUGUUAUUUCAUGCAACCCAUGUGUCCGUUUUUUUCAAUGUGUACUUAUUGGAAAUGCUUUCACUUGUUUAAACAAGUCCUACCUGUGACUCAAUAUUUGUUUAAAAACUUUUUAAGAAAGCAUCUUUGUCACCGUUUAUCUAUCUAAAUGCGAAUAAUACCACUUGCUUCCCACCUUAAUAAUUUUUGUAAAGAUUCUCAUUAGAGAAUACUUAAGCACAGAAAACGGUAAGAGCCUUGAAAUUAAGAUAUACAAUGAACACGUUUAUAAUAAAUACUUUUCACUGAUGUCAGUUUCGACAGUGUCAUUUAAGUUUAAACGACUUUGUGAUCACUUCUAACACAAAUCAAAACUAGAAGAUAUGGCUCUAAGUAAGUUGUGUUCUAGAUCCAUUUACACUGUGAGUAACAUUCACGACACCCUCUGGGACUCCUGGAUGCAGCUGGUGACCCAGACCCAGGAAUGACACAGCCAGGAAGGAAGUGAGGAAGGUGCACAGAGCUACUUCCUCUUGUUAGAACUCCCCUCUCAACAGCUGUAAGGAAGAAUGGAAAUUCCCUAUGAAUCAAAGUGUGACUUCGAAGUAUGGGAUACAAUUUGAGAGACCUGAUCAUAUUGAUUAGGAUGUUGACCAAAAGGAAGUCACUGCAUUUCAUUUGGACACUACUCAGACAUUUAAGCUGGUAUGACAUUCAUGAGAAACUUCUGGUUUCAAUUCAUCUUUUUCCCAUGAAUAUUUAUGUUCCUUUUUUUUAAUCUUUAAGUCAGUUCAUGAUAUUCAAGCUAGUUAUUUCCAACCUUCUGUCUGACUGAAUUCUGUAUUAAAUCUUUCUUUGUUUCCCCCCUGCAAAACAGGUUAAUUCAUGAGAGGCUAUUAUAUAGCAAGGACCAUGCUGCCAUGCUGUCUGUGUUCUGGGCAUAUGUACCCUCAAAGUCCUCAUAGGAUAGAAAUAGUACUAAAUCUGUAUACAAUGAACUGGACACAACAAUGUGGGGACUAUACUACAAAUACUAUGAACAAAGUGCCGGGAGAACCCUGAGUCUUUGCCAUGUUCUUUGAUGCCUUUGUGCCUUACACAUUCUGAUCCCGCCACCUAAAAUAAUCCUCUUGUCCUUCAUCCCUGGGACCCUGUACUCUGCCUCAGUGCUUCUCUUCCUACACACUUCACCUCCCCUUGCCUCUCUGAAUGUAAGUGUCUCUUCCACAGCAAUCUGUGCAAAGACUAACACCAGAGUAACUAUCUUACAGUAUUGUAACACUUAGCUAAUUUUUCUGCCUCCAACAAUAAAUUCUGAUCUAUUUGAGGAAGUGAACUCCAAUACCAUUCUCAAGGAAGUCCUUUUUUAGAAAUAUAGACUGAAACCUGACAGAAAAGGGAUUCAGUGUAUAUCCUAAAGGAUGGCAUAGGAGAG